GACGAACGCUGGCGGCGCGCCUAACACAUGCAAGUCGAACGGAGCUGAGAGAAGCUUGCUUUUCUUAGCUUAGUGGCGAACGGGUGAGUAACGCGUGAGUAACCUGCCCUGGAGUGGGGACAACAGUUGGAAACGGCUGCUAAUACCGCAUAAGCCCACGAUCCGGCAUCGGAAUGAGGGAAAAGGAUUUAUUCGCUUCAGGAUGGACUCGCGUCCAAUUAGCUAGUUGGUGAGGUAACGGCCCACCAAGGCGACGAUUGGUAGCCGGACUGAGAGGUUGAACGGCCACAUUGGGACUGAGACACGGCCCAGACUCCUACGGGAGGCAGCAGUGGGGGAUAUUGCACAAUGGGGGAAACCCUGAUGCAGCGACGCCGCGUGGAGGAAGAAGGUUUUCGGAUUGUAAACUCCUGUCGUUAGGGACGAUAAUGACGGUACCUAACAAGAAAGCACCGGCUAACUACGUG
rnacentral:rRNA from 1 species